UGAGGAAUUUUGGACAAUGGGGGAAACCCUGAUCCAGCGACGCCGCGUGAGGGAUGAAGGUCUUCGGAUUGUAAACCUCUUUUAUUCGGGAAUAAGAAAUCUAUGGAAACAUAGAGAGUGAAUGUACCGAAUGAAUAAGCCACGGCUAACUUCGUGCCAGCAGCCGCGGUAAUACGAAGGUGGCAAGCGUUACUCGGAAUUACUAGGCGUAAAGGGCAGGUAGGUGGUUUGAUAAGUCUGUUGUGAAAGCUCCUGGCUUAACUGGGAGAGGUCAACAGAAACUAUCAGGCUUGAGUAUGGGAGAGGGUACUGGAAUUCCCGGUGUAGCGGUGAAAUGCGCAGAGAUCGGGAGGAACACCUAUGGCGAAAGCAGGUACCUGGACCAUUACUGACACUCAGCUGCGAAAGCUAGGGGAGCAAACAGGAUUAGAUACCCUCGUAGUCCCUGAGCGGGCUGGCAAGGCGCAU
rnacentral:rRNA from 1 species